AACGCGAAGAACCUUACCCAGGCUUGAACAGCGAGUGACCACUCAUGAAAGUGAGCUUCCGCAAGGACACUCGUAGAGGUGCUGCAUGGCUGUCGUCAGCUCGUGUCGUGAGAUGUUGGGUUAAGUCCCGCAACGAGCGCAACCCUUGUUUGCUGUUGCCAUCAGGUUAUGCUGGGCACUCUGCAAAGACCGCCGGUGAUAAACCGGAGGAAGGUGGGGAUGACGUCAAGUCAGCAUGCCCUUUAUGUCCAGGGCUACACACACGCUACAAUGGCCGGUACAACGGGUUCCAACACGGCGACGUGAAGGCAAUCCCUUAAAGCCGGUCUCAGUUCGGAUUGCAGGCUGCAACUCGCCUGCAUGAAGUCGGAGUUGCUAGUAACCGCAGGUCAGCACACUGCGGUGAAUACGUUCCCGGGCCUUGUACACACCGCUCGUC
rnacentral:rRNA from 1 species